AUGAACGCUAGCGGGAAUGCUUUACACAUGCAAGUCGAACGGCAGCGCGAGGUAAGCUUGCUUACUUUGGCGGCGAGUGGCGAACGGGUGAGUAAUGUAUCGGAACGUGCCCAGUAGCGGGGGAUAACUACUCGAAAGAGUGGCUAAUACCGCAUACGCCCUACGGGGGAAAGGGGGGGAUCGCAAGACCUCUCACUAUUGGAGCGGCCGAUAUCGGAUUAGCUAGUUGGUGGGGUAAAGGCCUACCAAGGCGUCGAUCCGUAGCUGGUUUGAGAGGACGACCAGCCACACUGGGACUGAGACACGGCCCAGACUCCUACGGGAGGCAGCAGUGGGGAAUUUUGGACAAUGGGGGCAACCCUGAUCCAGCCAUCCCGCGUGUGCGAUGAAGGCCUUCGGGUUGUAAAGCACUUUUGGCAGGGAAGAAAAGGCUCUGGCUAAUAUCCAGAGCUGCUGACGGUACCUGCAGAAUAAGCACCGGCUAACUACGUGCCAGCAGCCGCGGUAAUACGUAGGGUGCAAGCGUUAAUCGGAAUUACUGGGCGUAAAGCGUGCGCAGGCGGUUUGGCAAGAAGGAUGUGAAAUCCCGGGGCUUAACCUCGGAACUGCAUUCUUAACUGCCAGGCUAGAGUAUGUCA
rnacentral:rRNA from 1 species